rnacentral:rRNA from 1 species
GAAUUCGCCCUUAGAGUUUGAUCCUGGCUCAGGAUGAACGCUGGCGGCGUGCUUAACACAUGCAAGUCGAACGAAGCGCGCGGAAGGAAGGCCUUCGGGCCGGAGAGCCGCGGGACUGAGUGGCGGACGGGUGAGUAACGCGUGGGCAACCUGCCCCGUACAGGGGGAUAACAGCCGGAAACGGCUGCUAAUACCGCAUAAGCGCACAGCGCCGCAUGGCGCGGUGUGAAAAGCUCCGGCGGUACGGGAGGGGCCCGCGUCUGAUUAGGCAGUUGGCGGGGCAGCGGCCCACCAAACCGACGAUCAGUAGCCGGCCUGAGAGGGCGGCCGGCCACAUUGGGACUGAGACACGGCCCAAACUCCUGCGGGAGGCAGCAGUGGGGAAUAUUGCACAAUGGGGGAAACCCUGAUGCAGCGACGCCGCGUGAGCGAAGAAGUAUUUCGGUAUGUAAAGCUCUAUCAGCAGGGAAGAAAAAAAUGACGGUACCUGAGUAAGAAGCACCGGCUAAAUACGUGCCAGCAGCCGCGGUAAUACGUAUGGUGCAAGCGUUAUCCGGAUUUACUGGGUGUAAAGGGAGCGUAGGCGGCGCGUUAAGUCUGAUGUGAAAACCCGAGGCUCAACCACGGGAGUGCAUUGGAAACUGGCGGGCUGGAGUGCCGGAGAGGUAAGCGGAAUUCCUAGUGUAGCGGUGAAAUGCGUAGAUAUUAGGAGGAACACCAGUGGCGAAGGCGGCUUACUGGACGGCAACUGACGCUGAGGCUCGAAAGCGUGGGGAGCAAACAGGAUUAGAUACCCUAGUAGUCCACGCCGUAAACGAUGAGGACCAAGUGUUGGGGAAGACCCAGUGCUGCAGUUAACGCAGUGAGUCCUCCGCCUGGGGAGUAUGCACGCAAGUGUGAAACUCAAAGGAAUUGACGGGGGCCCGCACAAGCGGUGGAGUAUGUGGUUUAAUUUGAAGCAACGCGAAGAACCUUACCAGGCCUUGACAUAGGGUGCGAAGCUAUGGAGACAUAGUGGAGGUAAACAUCCAUACAGGUGGUGCAUGGUUGUCGUCAGCUCGUGUCGUGAGAUGUUCAGUUAAGUCUGGCAACGAGCGCAACCCUCGUGAUGUGUUACCAAUAUCGAGUUAGGGACUCACAUCAGACUGCCGGUGAGAAACCGGAGGAAGGCGGGGAUGACGUCAAAUCAUCAUGCCCCUUAUGGCCUGGGCUACACACGUACUACAAUGGCGGCGACAGAGGGCAGCGAGCCUGCGAAGGCAAGCGAAUCCCAAAAAGCCGUCCCAGUUCGGAUUGGAGUCUGCAACCCGACUCCAUGAAGUUGGAAUCGCUAGUAAUCGCGGAUCAGCAUGCCGCGGUGAAUACGUUCUCGGGCCUUGCACACACCGCCCGUCA